UGGCUCAGACGGUAAAGCGUCUGCCUGCAAUGCGGGAGACCCGGGUUCGAUUCCUGG
rfam:Ovis aries breed Texel chromosome 2, whole genome shotgun sequence.